GAUGAACGCUGGCGGCGUGCCUAAUACAUGCAAGUCGAGCGAACAGACGAGGAGCUUGCUCCUCUGACGUUAGCGGCGGACGGGUGAGUAACACGUGGAUAACCUACCUAUAAGACUGGGAUAACUUCGGGAAACCGGAGCUAAUACCGGAUAAUAUAUUGAACCGCAUGGUUCAAUAGUGAAAGACGGUUUUGCUGUCACUUAUAGAUGGAUCCGCGCCGCAUUAGCUAGUUGGUAAGGUAACGGCUUACCAAGGCGACGAUGCGUAGCCGACCUGAGAGGGUGAUCGGCCACACUGGAACUGAGACACGGUCCAGACUCCUACGGGAGGCAGCAGUAGGGAAUCUUCCGCAAAGGGCGAAAGACUGACGGAGCAACGCCGCGUGAGUGAUGAAGGUCUUCGGAUCGUAAAACUCUGUUAUUAGGGAAGAACAAAUGUGUAAGUAACUAUGCACGUCUUGACGGUACCUAAUCAGAAAGCCACGGCUAACUAAGUG
rnacentral:rRNA from 1 species